GCGCGGGUGGCGGAAUGGCAGACGCGCUAGCUUGAGGUGCUAGUCCUCGAAAGGGGGUGGGGGUUCAAGUCCCCCUCCGCGCACGA
rnacentral:tRNA from 1 species